rnacentral:miRNA from 1 species
UGGAGAUCCAGUGCUCGCCCGA